UACAGAGGUCUCAAGCGUUGUUCGGAUUCAUUGGGCGUAAAGGGUGCGCAGGCGGCGUGGAAAGUUGAGUGUGAAAUCCUGGGGCUUAACCUCAGAACUGCACUCAAUACUCCCAUGCUAGAGGAAUGUAGAGGAGAGUGGAAUUCACGGUGUAGCAGUGAAAUGCGUAGAUAUCGUGAGGAAGACCAGUUGCGAAGGCGACUCUCUGGGCAUUUCCUGACGCUCAUGCACGAAGGCCAGGGGAGCAAACGGG
rnacentral:rRNA from 1 species